UUUGUUACUUCAAACCAAUCGGACUUCGGUCUGACAUCAAGUGAUAUUGAACAAUUUAGCUGAUCGCACGGUCUAAGAACCGGSGACAUAUCCUUCAAAUGUCUGCCUUAUCAACUUUCGAUGGUAGAUUAUGCGCCUACCAUGGUUGUAACGGGUAACGGAGAAUCAGGGUUUGAUUCCGGAGAGGGAGCCUGAGAAACGGCUACCACAUCCAAGGAAGGCAGCAGGCACGCAAAUUACCCACUCCCGGCACGGGGAGGUAGUGACGAAAAAUAACAAGCUGGUCUCAAUGAGUUCCAGCAUUGUAAUGGGAACAAUUUAAAUCUUUUAUCGAGGAUCUAUUGGAGGGCAAGUCUGGUGCCAGCAGCCGCGGUAAUUCCAGCUCCAAUAGCGUAUAUUAAAGUUGUUGCGGUUAAAAAGCUCGUAGUUGGAUCUAGGAUUAGGGCUACGGUCGUUCAKCUUGGACGUACUGUAUGCCCGACUCCUUUUCCUCUAGUAUUCGAUUGUUGCUCUUAAAUGAGUGACUUUAGUUGCUGGAACUUUUACCUUGAAAAAAUUGAAGUGCUCAAAGCAGGU
rnacentral:rRNA from 1 species